UGACUGUGGAAAUGAAUAAAUUCCAAACAAUGACUAUCAUCAGUGCAGGAACACCCAUGCAUUUGAUGUAUAGCCAGGAAAUCUAAAGGAACAUCUACAAUGAGAGGGAAGCACAACUGCAUGAAGGCUGCAGUUGUAACCCUGUCUACUUAGAGAUUCUAGAGCUGCCCUCUGGAACAACAGAGAACAAGCUGGCUACAUCUUCUAUAUGACAGCAGCCCUUCAGAUAUUUGAAGGUUGCUAUCUUGUCUCCCCUUCAUUUUCUCUUCUCCGUUCAUAGAUUUUAUGUUGGGGUUACAUUCCAGGCCCCCAUGUGCAUAAUUGAAAUGCACGUAAGUGAGGAGCUCCCUGCAGUACAUAUAGCUUCCUGUCCAACAGCUGUUGUACAGGGUAGCAUGGCAGCAAGAACUCCUGCAUGCCAUUUUGUAGCUGUUGGAGUCUCUUUUUUCUGGAUGUUUGGCUCACUGAUGUCCUCUUCAGGCUCUUCAGACGGGUCUCCUUACGAGCCACAAUGUACUUUCCAGCUCUCUCCCACCAUUUCUGGUUAGAAUUUUUUUCAUUUUUAAUUAUGUCCAAGCACCGCACGUAUACAUGGUCACGUGCGAGCUGAUGACAUGUAAGUGUGGGGAUGCCUGUACUCUCAUUUUUAAAUGCACAAUUUGUGUUCAUGUAGGCUGUGUAUUUUUCCUUUUCUCUCUGCUGUGCCUGUCUUUAGAAUCCUGUGCUGCAUAUAAAAUUGUGUAUAUUACCCCCAAAACUGCACCAAUUUCAAGAGGACUUAAAAAAUAACAAUUGGCAAACUGAUAAGAAAAUGUGAGGAACUAAGAUAAAGGUUGGAAAAAUGAGAAAGUGGGAGAAACCAGAAUUAACUGAUUUGCCAAUCUCUGUCCAAGGGGAAGGCCUGAGCUCAACAGCUGAGCAUCAGUUUCCCACGCAGAAGGUCCCAGGUUCAGUUCUUGGCAUCUCCAGGUGAGACUGUGAAUGUCCCCCAUCUGGACCCCUGGAGAGCUGCUGCCUGUCAGUGGGACAAUGCUGAGCUAGAGGAAUUGAUUGUCAGACUUAAAUAUAAGGCAGCUCCCUAUGUUUCCAAAGCAGCACCUUGUCAGCCUGCCAGCACUCUCUGACUUAUCCAGAUCCAAGGCUUUGCAGCUGGCGCAUAUUUUAAUGCCAAAUGACUGGCACCAUUGAUGUUGGAACACAUAGUCUCUUGGUGCCCACACUGCUUGCACAUUCAUUUCAGUAUGUCGCACUGUGUAACUACUUUUUGCUGUUGUUGCAACUUAA